CGGACGAACGCUGGCGGCGUGGAUUAGGCAUGCAAGUCGGACGGUAGGGCUUUAUCGUAAGAUAGAGUUUGAGAGUGGCGAACGGGUGAGUAACACGUAGGAAUCUACCCUUAAGACGGGGACAACCCAGGGAAACUUGGGCUAAUACCGGAUGAGAGUGCGAGAGAUUGCAUUUAAAAGGAUGGCGAAAGUUGUCGCUUAGGGAUGAGCCUGCGGUCUAUUAGUUAGUUGGUGAGGUAAGAGCUCACCAAGGCGAUGAUAGAUAGGCGGCCUUAACGGGUGGUCGCCCACACUGGGAUUGAGAUACGGCCCAGACUCCUACGGGAGGCAGCAGUCGAGAAUAGUCUACAAUGGUCGGAAGACUGAUAGUGCGACGCCGCGUGAACGAUGAAUCCCUUCGGGGUGUAAACCUCUUUCAGCAGGGAAGAAGCGAAAGUGACGGUACCUGCAGAAGAAGCACCGGCUAACUACGUG
rnacentral:rRNA from 1 species